AGAGUUUGAUCCUGGCUCAGGACGAACGUUGGCGGUGCGCUUAAUGCAUGCAAGUCGAGGGAGAACCUUUCGAUCCGUAAGGUUCGACUGUGGAAACCGGCGAACGGGUGCGUAACACGUGAGAAACCUGCCCCCCAGAUCGGGAUAGCCCAGGGAAACUUGGAUUAAUACCGGAUACUCUCUUUGGAUCGCAUGAUCCAUUGAGGAAAAGUCCGCUGCUGGGGGAUGGUCUCGCGGCCUAUCAGCUUGUUGGUGAGGUAACGGCUCACCAAGGCUAAGACGGGUAGCUGGUCUGAGAGGACGAUCAGCCACACUGGAACUGAGAUACGGUCCAGACUCCUACGGGAGGCAGCAGCAGGGAAUAUUGCACAAUGGGCGAAAGCCUGAUGCAGCGACACCGCGUGCGGGAUGAAUGCCUUAGGGUUGUAAACCGCUUUCGGGAGGGAAGAAAAUGACGGUACCUCCUAAAGAAGCUCCGGCCAACUACGUGCCAGCAGCCGCGGUAAUACGUAGGGAGCAAACGUUGUCCGGAUUUAUUGGGCGUAAAGGGCUCGUAGGCGGUUCAACAAGUCGAUCGUGAAAGCCCGGGGCUCAACCCCGGGAGGCCGGUCGAAACUGUUGUGACUAGAGUUCGGUAGAGGUGAGUGGAAUUCCCGGUGUAGCGGUGGAAUGCGCAGAUAUCGAGAGGAACACCAUUAG
rnacentral:rRNA from 1 species